UAGAAUGUGAAUAACGUUUUGAAUCCAGACCUAAUCCCCUGGCUUCCUUGUUUGAAAAAUGAACUAAAGUCUGAGGACCAGAAGCAGUCAAGCCGUGUCUAAGAGGUGCUACUAAUAUCUCAUCCAUCACCAUCCAUAGCCAACUCGAUCAAUGCCCCACAGCAAUGAGCAUCCCUGUUGUCUUGGGACCAUGAAUAAGAAAAUAGAGGCUGCAACCAUUUGUCCCUCAGAACAGAACAAUUAACUAGACAAAGGACUACAGAUCUAAUUUUCAUGAUAUCGAGGCUUUUACAGCCUGAAGGUUUGUGGCAAUACUACCUGGAGCAAGUCGAUUGGCACCAUUUUUCCAACAGCAUUUGCUCACUUUCUGCCUCUGUGUCACAUUCUGGUAAUUCUUGCAAUAUUUCAAACUUCUUCAUUAUUGUUAUAUUUUUAUGGUGAUCUUUGAUCAGUUAUCUUUAUGUUACUAUUGCAAUUAUUUUGGCGGGCCACUAACCAAGCUCAUAUAAGAUGGUAAAUUUAAUCGAUAAACGUGUGUGCUCUGACUGAUCCACCGACUGGCUGAACCCCCAUUUCUCUCCCACUCCUCAGGCCUCCUGACCAAAGGGACACACAGUAUUGAAAUUAAGCCUAUUAAUAACUCUACAAUGGCCUCUAAGUGUUGAAGUGAAAAGAAGAGUCACACUGUCUCUCAUUUUAAAUAAAAAUCUAGAAAUGCUUAAGCUUAGUGAGGAAGGCAUGUGGAAAGCCGAGAUAGGCCGAAAGCUAGGCCUCUUGUGUAAACAGUUAGCCAAGUUGUGAAUACAAAGGAAAAGUUCUAGAAGGACAUUAAAUCUGCUUCUCCAGUGAACAUACAGAUGAUAAGGUGAAACAGCCUUUUGGCUAAUAUGGAGAAAAUUUUACUGGUCUGGAUAGAAGAUCAAACCAGCCAUAACAUUCUCUUAAGACAAAGCCUAAUCCAGAGCAUGGCCCUAACUCUCUUCCGUUCUGUGAAGGCAGAAGAAAAGUUGGAAGCUAGCAGAGUUUGCUUCAUGAAGUUUAAGGAAAGAAGGCAUCUCCGCAACAUCAAAGUGCAAGGUGAAGCAGCAAGUGCUGAUGUAGAAGCUGCAGCAAGUUUUCCAGAAGAUCUAGCUAAGAUCAUUCAUGAAGGUAGCUACACAAAACACCAGAUUUUCUGUGUAGAUGAAACAGCUUUCUACUGAAAGAAGAUGCCAUCUAGAACUUUCAUAACUAGAAAGAAGUUAAUACCUGGCUUCAAGCUUUGAAGGACAGGCUGACUCUAAUUAGGGGCUAGUGCAGCUGGAGACUCUUAAAUUGAAGUCAGUGCUCAUGUACCAUUCCCCAAAUCCUAGAGCCCUUAAGAUGAUGCUAAAUCUACU